rnacentral:lncRNA from 1 species
GGACCGUUUUGCCUGAUUUGGGUCAGUCACUCUCCAAACAGAAUAAGCCACAGCCCAAAGCCUCCAAAUCUAAGCAAAUAGCAACAUUCUGAGCAAAGACACUUACUGCCAAGAAAACUCUCCCUCUCUGGUUUUGGAUUUGUGAGUUGGUCAAGCCCCUUUCUUUCCCUUCAGCAGAGCCAACCUCUCUUGUGCUUGGGAUCAGCUCUGCCUCUUCCCCAGCUCUGGCUGAAGUGACUCUGAUGGCAGCAGAUGGGAUUUUAAUUUCAUUUCUUCACCAAGGCUGGGGCUAAAUCUCAGCGAACUGUACUAUCACUCCAUUACAGACUGAGUUCUGGUUCUCCCAAAGACCCUGUGCACCAGGUCCCACCUCCGCCCUACUGCCCAUUGCCCACACCAUCCUCCUGGCAGAGCUUGCAGGCCCCAGAGAGCUGUGAAACAACGGCAGCAAGGAACUCGUCCUGCUUGUGGAAUCUCCAGGGGACAGGGAGAGAAGAAGCAAGUGCCUGACCCUACACGCCCGUUCUCAUUUCUCAGGCCAGAGGGAUGGAGCCAGCUCCCUGUUUUUGGAGCUGCAAAUGCAUGCCUCAUUUUUCACAGCAAUUGUUAUGGAGUGGCACUCUCUUCGGGGAGCCGGGCAUGUCAGAACCUAUCACAGAGCAUUUAACCCCCAACCUACUCGCUCCUCUAUUCUGUCUAAUGACACCGUCGGCAGCCGUCUGAAAGCUGUUUCCAGAAAUCCCAAUUCUGCCCUUGUAAAGCUGGGAUCCUUUAUGAGAGAGCUAAUGAUUUUCCAAGCCCCAAAGGGCAGAGAAAACCUAAGAGGGAGACAGCAUGAUUUAUCAAUCAGAAUUAUAGCCCGUGGGAUUCCUUUAGUUUAACUAAAAACUAAAUGUCAUCAACCUCAAGCACAUUUUACUACUUGUUUCGAUUUCUGAGGGAAAUAGAAAAGACAAGAGAAAAAAAAAUUUUUAAGAGAGCAUUCUUUCCAUUCCUAUCUCUUUUGGGGACUGAAGUCAGAUGUGGGAGGAGGGAUUCCAC